GAUGAACGCUGGCGGUAUGCUUAACACAUGCCAGUCGAACGGUACCUUCGGGUAUAGUGGCGGACGGGUGAGUAACGCGUGAGAAUCUAUCUUCAGGUCGGGGACAACAGUUAGAAAUGACUGCUAAUACCGGAUGUGCCGAAAGGUAAAAGAUUUAUUGCCUGAAAAAGAGCUCGCGUCAGAUUAGCUAGUAGGUGGUGUAAGAGACUACCUAGGCUUCGAUCUGUAGCUGGUCUGAGAGGACGAUCAGCCACACUGGAACUGAGACACGGUCCAGACUCCUACGGGAGGCAGCAGUGGGGAAUUUUCCGCAAUGGGCGAAAGCCUGACGGAGCAAUACCGCGUGAGGGACGAAGGCUCUUGGGUCGUAAACCUCUUUUCUCAAGGAAGAUUCGGACGGUACUUGAGGAAUAAGCAGCGGCUAACUCUGUG
rnacentral:rRNA from 1 species